AACACAAGCUGCUCAGUAGGUUUUUUCCAUUACAUUUGCCUUGUUUGUAUACAUUUAAAAGCACCUUUGAAAUUUCAGAAUUUGUCCGAUCCUACUGCAGUACUACUGUGAUGUAUCGCGAUCCAUCAUAUCAUGAUGCAAUCGAUAUCAUGAUCUAUUUGGCAACUUCCAGCCAUUCGUUUAACUACUUAAAGCACAAGACAAUGUCAACAUUUAAAAAUGAAAUGUUAAGCAUGACACCAGGGGAUGAUUUAAUAUCAGCUAACAUACAAAGGAUGUAAAAAAAAAAAAGAAGAGGUGAUAAAUCUCAUUAAUCAUCUGUGACUGAACCCUUCAUCUUGUAUUGACAUGUGGUGCAUGCACUGUGAUGACCCAGUGUUUAGAUUAGACAGCUGGAUGUAAGGUUCUGACAUUUCAUCCUUGAUCUCAUGGUAUUGUGUGUAUACUGUCUGAAAGAAUUCAAGUGAACCAGCAAUGUAUUUAGCACAGAAAAAUGAAAUCCGGGUCCCAGCACAAGCGCUUGUUAUGAUAAACACGUUGCUGUGCACAUGAAUGUGAUGUCACAGUUACUGACCCCCAGGUGAAAGAGUAAAACCUCUGGGCAGUUCCAUGGUAUGCUCACAGCAUGCUGCCUCAUUAGGUUUUGCAAGUGAAACAACCCUACAGACUCUGAGGAAUGACGGGGAGAACCUGAUUACGCUAAGGUCAAGAUGUGUAUUUAGCAGGCGUAUGAGAUAUGCGACAAAUGUCCCCAUCAAUUCUGCACGGUCACCCCUGAGACGAAUGCUGAUUGAGAAUUAUGAUUGUAUGACUACUAAGGCAAUUCACAGUCACUCAGGAGCAGCUUAUUAUGUUAUCGUUUUCUCGUUCACUGUUGACGAGUUCUAUUCAGCUUUCGAGCCUCUGACCUGCACAGACUGCUAUAAUUCAUACUUUACACGUUUGAUACACACACGAGGCAGAUAUUCAUUUCAAGAGUUGGGGGUGAGAAAAUAUAUCACAUAUAAUCAGCACAUGACUCAUCAUGACCCAAUCUUGCUAUAUUAAUACAUUCAUAAUGCUUCAAAAUCUGAACAAUAUCUUUCAUAGUAGUUUGACUAACAAGGAUAAAAUAACAACAAAAUAAUGAAAUAGCAAAAAACUGUUUUACCCAAUAAAACCAGAUCAUGCACUAUCCUGAUUGGUUAAGCCAACAUCGCCAUAGCAACUCGUAGCCAAUUAAAUAUGGCCUUUGGUUUUGAUGCAGAUUUUUAAAGUAUGCCAGCAACAUAGAGAAAAUGUCACCCGACACUUAUAUAAUCAGCAGUGUGGUUUACAUGACAUGUGAAGCACCCAGGGAAAGCUUUAGGAACUUACAAGAAAUUCCCCCAGAGCUUCAAAGCCCAUGCUUCUGGUAUUCGAUAUACAUGAUACGGCUACAGGUUUGUGGACACCUAUAUGUAAACCUUCGCAAAACUGUUGGUACAAAGUUGGAAGCACACAUUAGUAUAUGAGGCCUUUGGACACGGUAGAUAUACUAUUUCCUUUCACUGGAACUACAAGGCUCGGCACGCUCCAUGAAGACAAAAAGUUUGCGAAUGUUGGAGGAUCAAGUGGCCUCCUCGGAAGAGUGAAGGGUAAAAAACAGCAAGGUAAGGACUAGAUCUGAAAUGGGAUAUUUUAACAAACA